rnacentral:rRNA from 1 species
GCAGUCGAGCGGUAGAGAGGUGCUUGCACCUCUUGAGAGCGGCGGACGGGUGAGUAAAGCCUAGGAAUCUGCCUGGUAGUGGGGGAUAACGCUCGGAAACGGACGCUAAUACCGCAUACGUCCUACGGGAGAAAGCAGGGGACCUUCGGGCCUUGCGCUAUCAGAUGAGCCUAGGUCGGAUUAGCUAGUUGGUGAGGUAAUGGCUCACCAAGGCGACGAUCCGUAACUGGUCUGAGAGGAUGAUCAGUCACACUGGAACUGAGACACGGUCCAGACUCCUACGGGAGGCAGCAGUGGGGAAUAUUGGACAAUGGGCGAAAGCCUGAUCCAGCCAUGCCGCGUGUGUGAAGAAGGUCUUCGGAUUGUAAAGCACUUUAAGUUGGGAGGAAGGGCAUUAACCUAAUACGUUAGUGUUUUGACGUUACCGACAGAAUAAGCACCGGCUAACUCUGUGCCAGCAGCCGCGGUAAUACAGAGGGUGCAAGCGUUAAUCGGAAUUACUGGGCGUAAAGCGCGCGUAGGUGGUUCGUUAAGUUGGAUGUGAAAUCCCCGGGCUCAACCUGGGAACUGCAUUCAAAACUGUCGAGCUAGAGUAUGGUAGAGGGUGGUGGAAUUUCCUGUGUAGCGGUGAAAUGCGUAGAUAUAGGAAGGAACACCAGUGGCGAAGGCGACCACCUGGACUGAUACUGACACUGAGGUGCGAAAGCGUGGGGAGCAAACAGGGAUAGAUACCCUGGGUAGUCACGCCGU